UCUGCGUCAUCGGCCGCGCGCCGCUGGGGGCCGCUUGGGCUCGUGCCGGAGUUGGGGGACCAGGCCGCGGGCGGCGCGAUGGGAGACGAGAUGGAUGCGGUGAUCCCCGAGCGGGAGAUGAAGGAUUUCCAAUUCCGAGCACUGAAGAAGGUGAGAGUGUUCGACUCGCCGGAGGAGCUGCCCAAGGAGCGCUCCAGCCUGCUCGCUGUGUCCAACAAGUACGGGCUGCUCUUUGCUGGGGGUGCCACUGGCCUGCAGGUGUUCCCUACCAAACACCUGCUCAUUCAGAACAAGCCAGGAGAUGAUCCCAAUAAAGUAGUUGAUAAGGUGCAGAGCUUGCCAGUCCCUAUGAAGUUCCCAGUACAUCACUUGGCGCUGAGCUGUGAUGACCUCACUCUCUCCGUGUGCAUGAUGUCCAGCGAGCAUGGUUCCAUCAUUGCCUUCUUUGAUGUUCGCACGUUCUCAAACGAGGCAAAGCAGCAGAAGCGCCCGUUCGCCUACCACAAGCUCCUGAAAGAUGCAGGCGGGAUGGUGAUGGAUAUGAAGUGGAACCCCACAGUGCCCUCCAUGGUGGCCGUCUGUCUGGCCGAUGGCAGCAUCGCUGUCCUCCAAGUCACAGAGGCUGUCAAAGUGUGUGCCGCACUCCCUCCCACGGCCGGUGUGACGUCCGUGUGCUGGAGCCCCAAAGGAAAACAGCUGGCAGUGGGCAAACAGAACGGAACUGUGGUGCAGUAUCUUCCUACUUUGCAGGAAAAAAAAGUCAUUCCAUGUCCUCCGUUUUAUGAGGCAGAUCAUCCUGUCCGAGUUCUGGAUGUGCUGUGGAUUGGCACCUACGUCUUCACCAUCGUGUACGCUGCUGCCGACGGUACCUUGGAAACCUCUCCAGAUGUGGUCGUAGCUCUGCUGCCGAAAAAAGAAGACAAGCACCCCGAGAUGUUUGUGAACUUCAUGGAGCCCUGCUACGGCAGCUGCACAGAGAGGCAGCAUCAUUACUUCCUCAGCUACGUGGAGGAGUGGGACUUGGUGUUGGCAGCAUCUGCAGCCUCAACGGAAGUUAGCAUCCUGGCUCGGCAGAGUGAUCAGGUUAAUUGGGAAUUGUGGGUACUGGAAGACUCCAGUCGAGCUGAACUGCCCGUAACAGACAAGAGUGAUGACUCUCUGCCCAUGGGGGUCGCCAUAGACUAUACAAACCAAGUGGAGAUUACCAUCAGUGAUGAGAAGACUCUUCCUCCUGCUCCCGUUCUCAUGUUGCUGUCAACAGAUGGUGUGCUCUGUCCGUUUUACAUGAUCAAUCAAAAGCCCGGGGUCAAGUCUCUCAUCAAGGUGCCAGAGAGGCUGCCGUUGGAAGAAGAGCGGCAGCCCAGGUCAUCGGGAAGCACUCCUACUACUCCCACCUCCUCUCAGAUCCCACCAAAAGUUGAAGCCUCAGCACUGGCAUCUCCUGCUUCUGCUCCGUCUGCGGCACCUGCUACUCCCACCGCCACCUUCCAUGUGCCUCCUGCUGGGGGAGCCGCUGCUGUGUUCUCCUUUGGCUCUGCCUCCUUAAAAUUAUCUGCCCCUGGGGCCGGGGAGGCUCCUGACAAUCCCGCUCUGGGCUCCAGUGUUCCUGCCUUCUCUUUCGCCCCUCCCAAAGCCUCGCUCGCACCCACCCCUGCAGCAUCACCCAUGGCUGCACCUGCUGUUUCGUUUUCCUUUGGAUCCUCGGGUUUUAAGCCUACCCUGGAAAGUACACCGAUGCCGAGUGUGUCUGCUCCAAAUGCAGGAAUCAAGUCCUCCUUCCCGCCCUCCACGUCAGGGGCCAAAGCCAACCUUAGUGAAAAAUUUGCUGCCAUGGCUGCCUCGGCUCCUGUGAGUAGCUCCCUGAGCUCCCCCUCCGUGCUGCCGUCCUCGUCCAGCUCUAAGCCAGCUGCUCCGGGGCCCCUCGGCCUCCCUGCACCUCUCUCAGCAUCCACCGCUGGCCUGGCCUUGAAGCCCGCCAGUUCUGCCUCCCCCUCAGGGCGGUCCACUCAGGGAAGUCCCGCUCCGGUGCCCACCCUGGUGCAGAAGACACCCAGGAUAACUCCUCCUGUGGCCAAGUCAGGCUCCACCCAGGUGAAGUCACUUCAGCCUCCUCCUGCAGAAAAGCAGGGUCAUUCCUGGAAAGACUCAGAUCCUGUGAUGGCUGGGAUCGGAGAGGAGAUCUCACAUUUUCAGAAGGAGCUGGAAGAAUUGAAAGCCCGAACUUCCACGUGCUGUUUCCAGGUGGGCACGGCAGAGGAGCUGAAGAUGCUGAGAACGGAAUCGGAUGACUUGCACACCUUUCUCCUGGAGAUUAAGGAGACUACAGAGUCUGUUCAUGGAGACAUAAGCACCCUGAAAACGACUCUGCUUGAGGGUUUUGCCGGUGUUGAAGAAGCCAGAGGACAAAAUGAAAGGAACCGUGACUCUGGCUAUUGCCAUCUGCUCCAUAAAAGACCCCUGGAUCCCAAGAGUGAAGCCCAGCUCCAGGAAAUCCGACGCCUUCAUCAGUACGUGAAAUUUGCUGUGCAAGAUGUGAAUGACGUGCUGGACCUCGAGUGGGAUCGGCAUUUGGAACAAAAGAAGAAACAGAAGCGCCUGCUUGUGCCCGAACGAGAGACACUGUUUAACACCCUUGCCAACAACCGUGAGAUCAUCAACCAGCAGAGGAAGAGGCUGAAUCAGCUGGUAGACAGUCUGCAGCAUCUCCGUCUUUACAACCAGAGGUCCCAGUGGAGCCUGCCCUGCGUGGCUCCUUCCCCGGACAGCCCUCAGAGUUUUGACAGUGACUUGGAGAGUCUGCGCAAUGCUUUGCUGAAGACAGCCAUAGAAUCCCGCACCAAACCCUUGCCCAGGGUGCCAGCUAAACUGUCUCCCGUGAAACUGGCACAACUAAGAAACUUUUUAUCCAAGAGGAAGACCCCACCUGUUAGAUCCACUGCUCCAGCCAACCUGUCUCGUUCAGCCUUCCUAUCUCAAAGAUACUAUGAAGACUUGGAUGAAGCUAGCUCGACUUCGUCUGUCUCGCAGUCUCUGGAGAGUGAAGAUGCCCGGGCCCCUUGUAAAGAAGAGGAGGCAGUGGUCCAGGCCCCGCGGCAUGCCCCUGUGGUCCGCACUGCUUCUGUCCAGCCCAGUCUCUUGCCCCAGGCCAUACCUUUUGGUAAACCUCCUCCUAGCCCCAGUUCUUCACCUGGCAUAUUAUCCCCUGCACUGUUGACAUCUGCUGGCAAAAUAAUUCCUCAAGGGGCUGACAGCACAGUGCUUGCCACAAAAACUGUGAAACAUGGCGCCCCGAGUCCUUCGCACCCCAUCUCGGCAUCGCAGGCGGCGGCUGCUGCAGCCAUGAGACGGCAGAUGGCCAGCCAGGUGCCAGCUGUUAGUACUUUGACUGAAUCAACCUUGAAGAACGUCCCUCAGGUGGUGAAUGUGCAGGAGUUGAAGAAUAACCCUCCAGCCUCCUCCCCGGCCAGUGGCUCUUCAGUGCCGUACUCUGCAGGCAGAGCACCUCACCCCGGCUUAACCCCAGUGGCUGCCAACCAGGCCAAGCAGGGGUCUCUGAUAGGUUCCUUCAAGCCACCCGGGCCCACACCAGCAGGGUCCAGUCAGGUGUCCUCCGCGGGCAAUGCUGCAGGGCCGGGGACAGCCAAGACAGAAACCGCUGUGACUUCCAGCCCAUCUGCUGGUGGACAGUUCAGCAAGUCUUUCUCGUUUGCUCCGGCAGGGACUGGCUUUAAUUUUGGGAUAAUUACACCAACCCCGUCGUCUAGCUUCACCGCUGCACAAGGAGCAACACCCGCCACCAAAGAGACAGGCCAGCCGGACACAUUUUCCUUUAGCGGUGGAGGCAAACCUUUUUAUGAAGCCAUUCCUGAAAGUUCUUCCUCAGCGUCCAGCGCCCCUGGGGCUGCCAGUUCUUCUCCGGGAGAGUCUGCUCCUUCUGGCAACAGCAGGCCUGGGGCAGCUUCUGGAACUGUUCUUGCUGCCACCUCCAGCAAGCUGGAAGCUGCACCGGCCAAGCUGGGAGAGCUUCUGUGUCCGAGGCCUUCGGCUGGGGAGACUCUGGGGAGCUUCUCCGGGCUGCGGGUGGGCCCGGCGGACGACGCGGCAGAACCAGCCAGUAAGGCUUCCAGCGUGCCCUCGGGCUUCACUCUGAGCGGCCCUGCAGCCCCCGGGAAGCACGUGGGGCCCCCGGUGAGUGCCCCUGCAACUGCUCCCACGGCAGCACCGCCACCAGCAGCGAGCACAAGCUCUGGCAGUUCCUCGGGUGCUGUGUCUGGCAGCCUGCCCCUGCCCAGCCCAGGAACCUCGGGGGCCAUCGGUUUCGGUGGGAUUUCUUUCGGUGGUAGCAAGGCCAGCUUUUCCUUUGGAAGCUCACAGACUAGUAGUACAGUGCCCCUGUCUGCCCCCGCGUACACCACAGCCACCUCAUCCCUCCCAGCGGCAUUCCCAACACUGUCGUUUGGGAGUCUCCUAAGUUCAGCUGGCUCCUCCCUGCCCGCAUCUUCCACCAGAGGUGCGGAGGAGGCCACGACGGCCGCCGCUCCACCCGAGAGAACAAGCUGUAAUGAGGGCUCAGCAUCCACAGCCCCACCUCCAGGGCAGCAGCCGCCAGCCCAUCUUCCGCAGGCUCCUCAGCCAACGCCGGACUCUGGGAACAAAGAACCUGCUCUUGUCCAGCCGGCAGUCAGCAGCCCCAGCUCCAGUGCCAGCCACAUGGCCCCUGCUGCAGAGGCUGUUGCAGCAACCACUGGGGGCCCUGAAGUCAAGACAGAGGUGGCACCCCCCACUUUUUCCUUCUCAGUCCCUGAGCAGACUUCCACCGCAGGCAGCACGGUCCCAGGUGCCCCAACCUCCUCCAGCACUGUCCCCGGCAGUACUCCAGGCCCAGCUACAGAGACAGCCGUGUUUGCAACAGUCUCUUCUGGCUCAUCAGUCUUUACUCAGCCACCUGCUGCCAGUUCUAGCUCAGCGUUCAGCCAGCUCGCCAGCAGCACAGCCACUACGCCCUCGGCAGCACCCGUGUUUGGACAGGUGGCGGCCAGUACGGCCCCGGGCCUGUUUGGGCAGCAGGCAAGCAGUGUGACCAGUACGGCGACCACUACGCCCCAGGUCAGCAGCUCGGCCUUUGGCAGCCCAGCGUUCGGCGCCUCAGCCCCAGCCGUCUUUGGACAGUCAACGUUUGGACAGGCCCCAGCCUUUGGCCAGGCCACAAGCAGCCCUACCAGCAGCUUCUCCUUCAGUCAGCCUGGCUUCAGCUCUGUGCCCGCCUUUGGCCAGGCCACGUCCUCGGCCCCCACCCCCACCAGCGCCAGUGUCUUCGGUGCCUCCUCCAAUACCGGUAGCUCCAGUUCCUUUUCGUUUGGACAGUCUUCUGCCAAUGCAGGCCGUGGACUGUUUGGACAGAGCCCCACUCCCACUUUUGGGCAAAGCCCUGGCUUUGGGCAGGGUGGAUCUGUGUUUGGUAGCACCUCGGCCGCAAGCACCGCAGCCACACCCUCGGGGUUUAGCUUCUGUCAAGCUUCAGGUUUUGGGACUAGCAGUACUGGUUCUGUGUUUGGUCAGGCACCCAGCACUGGCGGAACAGUGUUUGGCCAGCAGUCGUCGUCUUCCGGCGGCAGCCUGUUUGGCUCUGGAAGUGCUACUAGAGGGGGCGGUUUCUUCAGUGGCCUUGGAGGCAAACCCAGCCAGGACGCAGCCAACAAAAACCCAUUCAGCUCUGCCAGCGGGGGCUUCGGAUCUACAGCCACCCCAAAUACCUCGAACCUGUUUGGCAACAGUGGAGCCAAGGCGUUUGGAGGCUUCGCGAGCUCGUCGUUUGGUGAGCAGAAGCCGGCUGGCACCUUCAGCUCGGGCGGAGGCAGCGUGGCAUCCCAAGGCUUCGGAUUUUCUACUCCGAACAAAACAGGUGGCUUCGGUGCUGCUCCAGUGUUUGGCAGCCCUCCUACUUUUGGGGGAUCCCCUGGGUUUGGAGGGGUGCCAGCAUUCGGUUCAGCCCCAGCCUUUACAAGCCCUCUGGGCUCGACGGGAGGCAAAGUGUUCGGAGAGGGCACUGCGGCCGCCAGCGCAGGAGGAUUCGGGUUCGGGAGCAGCAGCAACACGGCCUCCUUCGGGACCCUGGCGAGUCAGAACGCUCCCACCUUCGGGUCCCUGUCGCAGCAGACCCCUGGCUUUGGGACCCAGAGCGGCGGCUUCUCCAGCUUCGGCUCAGGCUCCGGAGGAUUCAGCUUUGGCUCAUCCAGCUCGUAAGUACCCUUGUCCCUUUUUGGUUCUGACACUUGGAAAUUGCAAGCGCUGAAUAAGAAUGGCAGGGUGCGUGCUAACUGAUGCAGGCAGCAGGUGCCGGGCCUCAUCCCAGGGCCCAGGGCUCAGAGCCAAGGACGGGGUGGGGGUGCUUCUCCUGGGCUCCUGUCAGUAUCUGUAGCUUCCUGCUGGCCACAGGCUA